CCUUGACAUACUAAGAACUUUCCAGAGAUGGAUUGGUGCCUUCGGGAACUUAGAUACAGGUGCUGCAUGGCUGUCGUCAGCUCGUGUCGUGAGAUGUUGGGUUAAGUCCCGNAACGAGCGCAACCCUUUUCCUAUUUGCCAGCGGGUCAUGCCGGGAACUUUAAGGAUACUGCCAGUGACAAACUGGAGGAAGGCGGGGACGACGUCAAGUCAUCAUGGCCCUUACGGCCAGGGCUACACACGUGCUACAAUGGUCGGUACAAAGGGUUGCUACCUCGCGAGAGGAUGCUAAUCUCAAAAAGCCGAUCGUAGUCCGGAUCGCAGUCUGCAACUCGACUGCGUGAAGUCGGAAUCGCUAGUAAUCGCGGAUCAGAAUGCCGCGGUGAAUACGUUCCCGGGCCUUGUACACACCGCCCGUCACACCAUGGGAGUUUGUUGCACCAGAAGUAGGUAGUCUAACCGCAAGGAGGACGCUUACCACGGUGUGGCCGAUGACUGGGGUGAAGUCGUAACAAGGUAGGCGUAGAUGA
rnacentral:rRNA from 1 species